CCACAAAACCCUACUGCCGACGACGCCAUUGCAGAUCCACUUCUCCACUCCGGCCGCCACUUCUUCUCCAAUUUCUGCCCCAAAUCCGUCACUUCUCCUCUUGGGCAAUUACGUCACCUUCAAUAUCGCGUCGUAUUUGAGAAAGGACUGAUUGAACUCAAGAAUCUCUUGAUUGUGGAGCUUGAACAGAUUCGUCAAUUAAAGAAAUUAAUGAUAAUGGAGAUGUUGCUGAUGAUCAUUACCACCGAUUCUUGGAAGAUAUUGAGAUUAUGCAUUCACUUGGAGUAAAUGCAUACCGGUUCUCAAUUUCAUGGGGUAGAAUUUUACCAAAAGGCAGAUUUGGUGAAACUAAUCCAGGUGGAAUCAUGUUUUAUAAUAAUAUUAUAGACCAUCUCUUGCUCAGAGGAAUUUAGCCGUUUGUGACCAUAUUCCACUUUGACUUACCACAAGAACUAGAAGAUAGAUAUGGGUCUUGGUUCAGCCCUCUAAUUCGGUAA